CCUGGAGGAGUGGCACUAAGAACACAGGUGGUUGUGCGAUUUCGAAUAUCAUUGCAUUUUGCAUUUGUGUUCUCAGGUCACCCCUUUGGGGA
rnacentral:pre_miRNA from 1 species